rnacentral:rRNA from 1 species
UACGAAGGGUGCAAGCGUUACUCGGAAUUACUGGGCGUAAAGCGUGCGUAGGCGGUUUGUUAAGUCUGUUGUGAAAGCCCUGGGCUCAACCUGGGAAUGGCAAUGGAUACUGGCAAGCUAGAGUGCGGUAGAGGGUAGUGGAAUUCCCGGUGUAGCGGUGAAAUGCGUAGAGAUCGGGAGGAACACCAGUGGCGAAGGCGGCUACCUGGACCAGCACUGACACUGAGGCACGAAAGCGUGGGGAGCAAACAGG